GUGGCUCAGGACGAACGCUGGCGGUGUGCUUCACACAUGCAAGUCGAACGAGGUAGCAAUACCUAGUGGCGGACGGGUGAGUAACGCGUGGGAAUCUGCCUUGAGAUGGGGGAUAACGAGCCGAAAGGCUCGCUAAUACCGCAUAUGCCGAAAGGUGAAAGGAGUAAUCCGUCUUAAGAUGAGCCCGCGUCCGAUUAGCUAGUUGUGGGGUAAAGGCCUACCAAGGCGACGAUCGGUAGCUGGUCUGAGAGGAUGAUCAGCCACAAUGGGACUGAGACACGGCCCAUACUCCUACGGGAGGCAGCAGUGGGGAAUUUUACGCAAUGGGGAAACCCUGACGUAGCGACACCGCGUGAGCGAAGAAGCCCUUUGGGGUGUAAAGCUCUGUCAGCUGGAACGAAAAAAUGACGGUACCAGCAGAGGAAGCAUCGGCUAACUACGUG
rnacentral:rRNA from 1 species